CACCCCUUAUUCUCUUCAGCCACUCAACACACAGACCCUGCAUCUCUUCCUCUUUCUCUGUCAUUAACAGCGAUCGGAACCGGGUUCGGCCGGAGCUCCGGUGACCCGUGUUUGCCGGCGAUGUCACACCACUCGCAACCCCCUACAUCUCUUCUCUCCUGCUCACCACAUUUACCGGCUGCUGGAGUCAUGUUCGGGCCGACCAAACACGUCUAUAACCCUGAACCACCUUCACUCACCUCCAAAUUGAGCGACCGGCCACCACCGAAUGGUGGUGGCGUACGGCGACGGACGCGACAGAAGAGAGGAGAGAGAGAGAGAGAGAACCGGCGUUGGUGGUGGGGUUCCGACGGCAAGUUUCAGUGGUGGUGGCGGUGCUUUUGGUGAAGAUGAUGGGGUUCCGACGACAGUCACGUUUCUGAAUUUAUGUUGCUAGCGACGGCGUUGCCUCAGAGUUCCAAUAGCCGUCACUCCGGGGGUAUUGCCUAGUGGAGAUGGAUAUAAUCAGGUGAUUCUGCUGGUGGCACGAUGAUACUCCAGUGGUCCGUCAUUGAUCCAAAUUUACCGUUCAAAAAAAAAAAAUAAAUAAAAUAAAUAUUAUUAUAGUUGAAUAGUUGAUUGAUUGUCAUCAUUUGUUUCUACAAAGAUUUAACAAGUUCUGUAUUAAUAAAUAUUUACAAAGAAUAGUUGGCAAAACUCGUGAUCUUGAGGUGAAUGUAUUUUAUUUUAUAUUAUUUUUAA